rnacentral:lncRNA from 1 species
UUUCCCCAAGAGGACACUAGUAAGAGAAACAGUUCUACUGUUAUUUUCAGCAGAAACACUGGUGAUAGAAGCAGUGUUCUUGUCACCUGUAUGUAAUCUGUAUGACACCACCAUCAGGACUGGAACAGAGAGCUCAGACAUGCCUCUGCUCUGUUAGUUGUGAAAGAAUCCACACAGCUCAGCUCCUCUGUGCCGAGCGAUGUUGUGUAGUUAUUGAUCAGCUGUAAUAGUUAAGGUCAGGUUUUCUCAAUCUGGAGUGAGAGGUGAACACUGGGCUGAAGACAGAUGACCAGGCACAGAGAGACUGCAGAGCCAGACUGCUGCCCUCAGACACACGAACCAGCUGUCACAGCUGUGCAGCCUACAGCAGCGUGUCCUGGGAUGGAGGCUGUCCAGAAGCUGCCAGUGGGAAGACGGGUAUGUUUAGAGUUGGGAUAGAGGUUGGUUACCCUCUCCUGUGUUUCUUUUCCUGGAUGUCCAAAAGAAUUGACAGUGGGAAGACAGAGUGGAAGGGGAGUUGGAAUGGAGAUGUCCAGAGGCUGCCAGUGGGAAGACCGGUACGGGUAGGAAGACAGAAUGGGGGUUGAUGGUCUCUCCUGUCUCCAGCAGUGCCUCCUUCUCUGAGGUGAAACGCCAAAAUGUCUGGGGUCAAAGGUCAAGAUGGACUCCAUUGCGGGGGCAGACGGUGGGAAGACCAGUGUGGAUGGAGUGUUGGGAUGGAGGAUGAUGCUUUACCCUGUGUUCAUUUCUGUAGUUUUCCAGAAUGUCCAGAGGCAGACAGAAGACGGGUUGUCUAGUGACUGACAGUGGGAAGACCAGUAUGUAUGAGGGGUUGGGAUAGAGGUGGGAUGCUCUCUCCUGUGAUCUUUUCCAUUUUCCAGGCUGCCAGUGGGAAGACGGGUAUGGCUGACAGUUGGGAUAGACGUUGGUUACCCUCUCCUGUAAUUUUUUCCCUAAUUGUCCAGG